UGUGAUCUACUCUACCUAUCACUUCUUUCUUCUUCAAGAUCUGCAUCUGCCCCUCCUUCUUCUUUCGAUUUGAUCAAAUCUCUUUGAUAAUUAUCUUGAUUGGAUCAGCUGCUCUUUCUUCAGAUCUGUUUGAGAAACAUCUUGAUUAUACCAGGAGAACAUCUCUGAUUAAUCACUGACAGACAGUGAUCCUUCUUCUUCGUCUCACUUAUCUGCAACCAAAGUUUGCAUCAUUCGGUGCCUAUUCUGAUUCAAGCAAGUCUUUAGGAGAAAUUCUUCUCAGUCAAGG